CCUACGGGAGGCUGCAGUGGGGAAUAUUGCACAAUGGGGGAAACCCUGAUGCAGCGACGCCGCGUGAGUGAAGAAGUAAUUCGUGAUGUAAAGCUCUAUCAGCAGGGAAGAAAAUGACGGUACCUGAGUAAGAAGCCCCGUCUAACUACGUGCCAGCAGCCGUGGUAAUACGGAGGGGGCAAGCGUAAUCCGGAUUUGAUGGGUGUUAAGGGAGCGUAGACGGCAGAGCAAGUCUGGAGUGAAAGGCGGGGGCUCAAACCCCGGAGUGCUUUGGAAACUGUACGGCUGGAGUGCAGGAGAGGUAAGUGGAAUGCCUGGUGUAGCGGUGAAAUGCGUAGAUAUUAGGAGGAACACCAGUUGCGAAGGCAGCUUACUGGAGUGUAACUGACGUUGAGGCACGAAAGCGUGGGGAGCAAACAGGAUUAGAUACCCGUGUAGUC
rnacentral:rRNA from 1 species